rnacentral:rRNA from 1 species
CCCAGACCGCCAGCUAAGGUCCCAAAGUCAUGGUUAAGUGGGAAACGAUGUGGGAAGGCCCAGACAGCCAGGAUGUUGGCUUAGAAGCAGCCAUCAUUUAAAGAAAGCGUAAUAGCUCACUGGUCGAGUCGGCCUGCGCGGAAGAUGUAACGGGGCUAAACCAUGCACCGAAGCUGCGGCAGCGACGCUUAUGCGUUGUUGGGUAGGGGAGCGUUCUGUAAGCCUGCGAAGGUGUACUGUGAGGUAUGCUGGAGGUAUCAGAAGUGCGAAUGCUGACAUAAGUAACGAUAAAGCGGGUGAAAAGCCCGCUCGCCGGAAGACCAAGGGUUCCUGUCCAACGUUAAUCGGGGCAGGGUGAGUCGACCCCUAAGGCGAGGCCGAAAGGCGUAGUCGAUGGGAAACAGGUUAAUAUUCCUGUACUUGGUGUUACUGCGAAGGGGGGACGGAGAAGGCUAUGUUGGCCGGGCGACGGUUGUCCCGGUUUAAGCGUGUAGGCUGGUUUUCCAGGCAAAUCCGGAAAAUCAAGGCUGAGGCGUGAUGACGAGGCACUACGGUGCUGAAGCAACAAAUGCCCUGCUUCCAGGAAAAGCCUCUAAGCAUCAGGUAACAUCAAAUCGUACCCCAAACCGACACAGGUGGUCAGGUAGAGAAUACCAAGGCGCUUGAGAGAACUCGGGUGAAGGAACUAGGCAAAAUGGUGCCGUAACUUCGGGAGAAGGCACGCUGAUAUGUAGGUGAAGCGACUUGCUCGUGGAGCUGAAAUCAGUCGAAGAUACCAGCUGGCUGCAACUGUUUAUUAAAAACACAGCACUGUGCAAACACGAAAGUGGACGUAUACGGUGUGACGCCUGCCCGGUGCCGGAAGGUUAAUUGAUGGGGUUAGCGGUAACGCGAAGCUCUUGAUCGAAGCCCCGGUAAACGGCGGCCGUAACUAUAACGGUCCUAAGGUAGCGAAAUUCCUUGUCGGGUAAGUUCCGACCUGCACGAAUGGCGUAAUGAUGGCCAGGCUGUCUCCACCCGAGACUCAGUGAAAUUGAACUCGCUGUGAAGAUGCAGUGUACCCGCGGCAAGACGGAAAGACCCCGUGAACCUUUACUAUAGCUUGACACUGAACAUUGAGCCUUGAUGUGUAGGAUAGGUGGGAGGCUUUGAAGUGUGGACGCCAGUCUGCAUGGAGCCGACCUUGAAAUACCACCCUUUAAUGUUUGAUGUUCUAACGUAGGCCCCUUAUCGGGGUUGCGGACAGUGUCUGGUGGGUAGUUUGACUGGGGCGGUCUCCUCCUAAAGAGUAACGGAGGAGCACGAAGGUUGGCUAAUCCUGGUCGGACAUCAGGAGGUUAGUGCAAUGGCAUAAGCCAGCUUGACUGCGAGCGUGACGGCGCGAGCAGGUGCGAAAGCAGGUCAUAGUGAUCCGGUGGUUCUGAAUGGAAGGGCCAUCGCUCAACGGAUAAAAGGUACUCCGGGGAUAACAGGCUGAUACCGCCCAAGAGUUCAUAUCGACGGCGGUGUUUGGCACCUCGAUGUCGGCUCAUCACAUCCUGGGGCUGAAGUAGGUCCCAAGGGUAUGGCUGUUCGCCAUUUAAAGUGGUACGCGAGCUGGGUUUAGAACGUCGUGAGACAGUUCGGUCCCUAUCUGCCGUGGGCGCUGGAGAACUGAGGGGGGCUGCUCCUAGUACGAGAGGACCGGAGUGGACGCAUCACUGGUGUUCGGGUUGUCAUGCCAAUGGCACUGCCCGGUAGCUAAAUGCGGAAGAGAUAAGUGCUGAAAGCAUCUAAGCACGAAACUUGCCCCGAGAUGAGUUCUCCCUGACCCUUUAAGGGUCCUGAAGGAACGUUGAAGACGACGACGUUGAUAGGCCGGGUGUGUAAGCGCAGCGAUGCGUUGAGCUAACCGGUACUAAUGAACCGUGAGGCUUAACCUUACAACGCCGAAGGUGUUU